rnacentral:rRNA from 1 species
UCAAGGGAAGAAGGGCAUACGGUGGAUGCCUAGGACGUAGGAGGCGAAGAAGGGCGCGGCAAGCUGCGAAAAGCCACGGUAAGGUGCAAGCGACCGAAGAGCCGUGGGUACCCGAAUGGGGAAACCCGGUGAGCAGAGAGGCUCAUCAUCCCGAAAGGGAGGCGAACCCGGUGAAGUGAAACAUCUCAGUAGCCGGAGGAAAAGAAAGCGAAGCGAUAGCGUGAGUAGUGGUGAGCGAAAGCGCUGGAGUCCAAACCGAAGACGUGUCAAGCGCGCGGGCGUUGCGUUUUCGGGGUAGGGGGACGUUCGAGGGGUGGCUGCGCCCACCCACUCAGACGGAAGGCGUUUAGGAGAAAUCUCUGGGAAGGGAUACCGAAGAAGGUGACAGUCCUGUACCCGAAAGGCGCCGGAGCUGAGGAACGAUCCCAAGUAGUGCCGGGCACGUGAAAUCCGGUAUGAAUCAGGGGAGACCACUCUCCAAGACUAAAUACUCCUACGGACCGAUAGAGAAGCAGUACCGUGAGGGAAAGGUGAAAAGCACCCCGGGAGGGGAGUGAAAGAGAACCUGAAACCGUAUGCCUACAAGAAGAGGGAGCGAAAGUGACCUCGUGCCUUUUGAGUAAUGUGCCUGCGAGUGGUCGUAUCGGGCGAGGUUAAGCCGGGGGAGGCGGAGCCGGAGGGAAACCGAGUCUGAAUAGGGCGAAAGAGUCCGAUGCGAUCGACCCGAAGCCAGGUGAGCUACCCAUGUCCAGGGUGAAGGUGGGGUAAGACCCACUGGAGGCCCGAACCGGUGGACAGUAAAAAGUCUUCGGAUGAGGUGUGGGUAGGAGUGAAAAGCUAACCGAACCUGGUGAUAGCUGGUACUCUCCGAAACGUAUUGAGGUACGGCCUCAGGGGGUCCCUUGCGGGGGUAGGGCGCUGGAUGGGGUAGGGGAGCAAUCUCCGAACUCAACCAAACUGCGAAUACCGCAAGGAAUAACCUGGGAGACAGCCCGUGGGGGAUAAGCUCCACGGACGAGAGGGAAACAACCCAGACCGACGGCUAAGGUCCCGAAGAGAUCGCUUAGUGUGCAAGGAAGUGGUGUGUCCGAGACAGCUGGGAGGUUGGCUUAGAAGCAGCCAUCCUUGAAAGAGUGCGUAACAGCUCACCAGUUAAGACAGGCUGCGCCGAAGAUAGAGGGGGCUGAAGCGAUUCACCGAAGCCGCGGAAUGCGAAAGCAUUGGUAGGAGAGCAUUGCGCCGAGGGAGAAAGCCGGACUGCGAAGGCGGCUGGACGGAGCGCAAGGGAGGAUGCAGGCAUGAGUAACGAGAAGACGGUGAGAAUCCGUCUCCCCGAAAGCCUAAGGGUACCUGGGGAAGGGUCGUCCACCCAGGGUAAGCCGGACCUAAGGGGAACCCGAAAGGGGUAACCGAUGGGAAGCCGGUAAAGAUUCCGGCGCCAGGCGUCCGGGAGGUACGAGCGGGGACACAGGAGGAUAGGCUCUGCGAAGAAAUGGGAAAUUCGUCCAAGCCUCGAGCUGUAGAAGCGCGUAGGGAAGGCCGCGCGCGGAGGUAAGGGGUGAAGGGGAGUCCAUCGAAGGGUGGGCAACGGAGCUGAGUUCACACUGUCAAGAAAAGCCGCGCGUACCGGCGAACGGAAGCCUGACCGUUCUAAAAACCGACACAGGUAGGCUAGUUGAGAAGACUAAGGGGAGCGGGAGAACCUCCGCUAAGGAACUAGGCAAAAUGGCCCCGUAACUUCGGGAGAAGGGGCGCUCCUGCGGGUUAAGAGCUAGCGGGAGCUGCAAAGACCAGGCUCUGGCGACUGUUUACCAAAAACACAGGACUCUGCGAACACGAUGAGUGGACGUAUAGGGUCUGACGCCUGCCCAGUGCUGGAAGGUUAAGGGGAGUGGUCAGCGCGAGCGAAGCUACGAACCGAAGCCCCAGUAAACGGCGGCCGUAACUAUAACGGUCCUAAGGUAGCGAAAUUCCUUGUCGGGCAAGUUCCGACCUGCAUGAAUGGCGUAACGAUCGGAGCACUGUCUCAGCGGAGGGCCCGGUGAAAUUCCAAUCUUGGUGAAGAUGCCAAGUUACCCGCGAUUAGACGGCAAGACCCCAUGAAGCUUUACUGUAUCCUAAUAUGGUAUAGUGGUGGAAGGCGUACAGGAUAGGUGGGAGGCAGCGAACGCAGCGCGUCAGCGCUGCGGGAGCCGACGGUGGGAUACCACCCUCCUUCCAGCGUUAUACUAACCGAGGUAGGUGGAGAGCCUAUCAGGGACAGUGUUAGGGGGGCAGUUUGACUGGGGCGGUCGCCUCCAAAAAGGUAACGGAGGCGCGCGAAGGUGGGCUCAGGCUGGUUGGGAAUCAGCUGGCGAGUGCAAGGGCAAAAGCCCGCCUGACAGUGAGAGAGACAUCUCGAGCUGAGACGAAAGUCGGUCCUAAUGACCAGGUGGUGCUGUGUGGAAAGGCCAUCGCUCAACGGACAAAAGCUACUCUGGGGAUAACAGGCUGAUACCGUCCGAGAGUCCAUAUCGACGACGGUGUUUGGCACCUCGAUGUCGGCUCAUCGCAUCCUGGGGCUGUAGUCGGUCCCAAGGGUUGGGCUGUCCGCCCAUUAAAGCGGUACGUGAGCUGGGUUCAGAACGUCGUAAGACAGUUCGGUCCCUAUCUGUCGCGGGCGCAGGAUACUUGAGAAGGCUUCUCCCCAGUACGAGAGGACCGGGAGGAGUGGACCGCUGGUGAACCAGUUGUGCUACCAAGCGCAUAAGCUGGGUAUCUAAGUCCAUGAGUGAUAAGCGCUGAAAGCAUCUAAGCGCGAAACAUGCUUCAAGAUGAGGUAUCCCAUCGAAAGAGUAAGGGCCGUUCGAGAACAGGACGUAGAUAGGCCGCAGGUGGAAGCGGCGCGAGCCGUGCAGCCGAGCGGUACUAAUCGCCCGAGGCCUUGACCUU